CCUGAGGCAGCAGUGUGGGACAGUAAGGAUGUGGGAGCAGGACCACGUGGCUGUGGGAUGGACUGUUCAAGAUGCUCUUGCAGAGGAAUGAGCUCCAGCUCUGAGGACAAGAGAGACCGGCAGUGGUAGCUGAAGCCAUGAAGUGACUUGGCUGGAUGUCUCCACCAGUGAUGUGACUGUGCUUAGCAAGAAAGAAGCGGUGCUGGGCAGCUCUGAGAGAGCAGAAUGUGGGCUUGAACUGUCACUUGCAGAAGCAUUUCAGAGAGCAAACCACCUCUAUUUGAAAGACAAGCUGAACUCUUUGAGCCUCGUAGCCAGACUGGAUUAAAUAAGGGGAUCUUGAAUAAAAUUCUGCUUUAAGAACAAAAUAGCUGAGACUGUUUCUCAGUUUGUCUUUAAGCAAUUUCUUCAACCAAAAGCAAUAGUGCAAUUUGCUUUUCUUUGGAAGCCCCGUGGCCUCUGAUCUCAUGGAAAGCUGAACCAUAGGGCUGAGUGAGAAAUGCUUCUGGAAAAUGGAGUUUGUGAGUUUGGACUCGGGGCUUUCCAUAAAUGCCUUCCAAUCCAUUGAUUCUGUGCUUCUGUGGAAUACCUGCUUUGUUUUUUGUCUUGUGCUUUGUAUUCCAUGGUCAAAACACAGUGGGCCAGAGGUAAUGGAAUUUCAUGUGUCAUGAAGGGAGAUGAACAAAGCUGGAUUACUGCUAGAUUGGCUUCUCUAGUAAAGAGGAACUUGUGCCUGUGUGGUCUGUGGUGAAUUUUAGCAGAGGCCAUGCACUGAAAGUAGCAUCAUACAACACCUAGUGUGGUGGAUGCAGUCUACGCGAUUCUGAGUUGCAUCAAAGACUGGGCUUGUGGUGCUUAGAUAAAAUGUAAAAUUAUUUGAUUUACUUUCCUUAGGUCUGUAAAUUAUCAUCUGUGAGCAAAUAAUGCCAGCAAACAGAAUAAAUAUAACAAGUGGGAUCCUUCCCCUAUAGCCGUGGAUUGUUUGACACUUAAGGCAGCUUUUGCAGAUUGCUAAAAUAUUUUCUGAAUUGGAUACAGCUGAGGGAGCUGCUUGAUAUGAAGCUGGAAA